ACGCGAGCUGGGUUCAGAACGUCGUGAGCCAGUUCGGUCCCUACCCGUCGCCGCCUUGGGAACUUUGAGAGGCCCUGUCCUUAGUACGAGAGGACCGGGAUGGACGUACCUCUGGUGUACCAGUUGUCCUGCCAAGGGCAUGGCUGGGUAGCUAUGUACGGAAUGGAUAAGCGCUGAAAGCAUCUAAUCGCGAAGCCAACUUCAAGAUAAGAUUUCCCACCGCAAGGGUAAGACCCCAGAAAGACUAUCUGGUUGAUAGGUCGAAGGUGUAAGU
rnacentral:rRNA from 1 species